UACGUAGGGGGCAAGCGUUGUCCGGAUUUAUUGGGCGUAAAGAGCGUGUAGGCGGCCUGGAAGGUCAGCUGUGAAAACUCGAGGCUCAACCUCGAGACGUCGGUUGAAACCACCUGGCUAGAGUCCGGAAGAGGAGAGUGGAAUUCCCGGUGUAGCGGUGAAAUGCGCAGAUAUCGGGAAGAACACCCGUGGCGAAGGCGGCUCUCUGGGACGGUACUGACGCUGAGGAGCGAAAGCGUGGGGAGCAAACAGG
rnacentral:rRNA from 1 species